AACCAACCAACUAAAGACGAAUGAAAGAAAAAAUGAAAAUUUUUACAAGUCGAAACAACGAGAAACUACUAAUAAAACAAGAAAUAUAAAAAUUUACACGUCCGUACUUUACAAAUCACAAAAUCAGACAAAAAGACAAAGUCGAUGGAAGACAGCAACGCUGCUAAAGACCUUCGUAUGACGAGUUGAAUUAUGAAAAACAACGAACGAUUAAACGAGAAAAACGCAAGUCCUCAGCAAUGCGUUGCUUGACGUUGAUUUUCUUUGCGACGAUUUAGUAGAACAAAAACAAAGUUCAUGUAUGCGUUCAUAUGCGUCAAAAACAACAAAGAAUUUGUUCGACAAAGUUCCACGAACAGCAACGCAUACUUGGGUGUUUGACUUUCUAUAUCUAGUAUUUUAUAUUUGUUUUAAAUUUUUUUCUUUCAAUAAAAUUUAAUAUUUUAGUUUAUACUUUAA